AGAGCACAAAGAUGGUGACAGGUCAGGGCAGCCUCGCUGGCCUUCACCCCGGCUGCUUCUGUCUUUGCAGGAGGCAUUCUCCUGAGACCAGACAGAGGUUCAUCUUCACAAAGGUGUCCUCCGGGCACACAGCAUCAGAUACUCACAGUCCCAGGCUUAGCGGUCAACAUGGGGGUGCACAAGUCGGAUGGGUGCAGUGAGUGUCACAGGGCAAGGACUCAAGAGGAUGGGCCUUGCCCCUGUGACAGGAUUCUAACCACAGCAGACCCCUCAGCAUACGGCCUGCCCUCCCUCUCUGCACAGCCGGCAGCGUGGACUCGCCCCAUGGGGCUGUCGUGCAUCAGAUGCUAGGCGCUCAGUACAGAUAAGGUGAAAUAAAACAGGAUGGAACAAUACGUCGUUUUAGAACACAGAGGAGACACUCUCUUCUUCCUGCUAGGCCGUGUAACUGACAAGGCAACGCAAGUGAAUAGAGAGGUCCGUUGCUACAGAUGCUGUUCAGUCCCUGACUUGCCAGUCAGGGAUCUGGGAGCAGAAAGAUGCAGAGAGAGCCUGAAGACGACUUUGAAAACAAAGGUCUCCCUCUGUCACAUUUACAGACACCUAUCCUUAGGCACGCGUAGGUAAGAGAACUCGGGCUGUGUGCGCAGGGAAGAGAAAAAGUAUAAAUGCUGUAAAGAGAACUCUGACUUUAGGCCAUAAUGGGAACUUGAAAAGGAUUGGGGAAAGGGGGAGCGGAAAUGUUUACCAAGUACUUUUCAGUGCAUAUUUGGUUAAUCAGAGUCUAUUCUGCUAUGGUGAUUUCCAUAAAGAGCUCCUCUGUUGAAUAUUUAUACUCCAUAAUUUACAGUUUGGCUGUUAAGGAGACAAAGGCAAACACAGAUUUGGUCCAGAAGUUCAAAGUUUGCCAUCUGUUUUCCUAUUGUAUUUAGAUACCAGCAUGGAUGGCUCCAAGCAAAAUAAACAAAUAAACCAAAA